rnacentral:ribozyme from 1 species
UUACUAUACAACAACAAGAACAAGAGAUAUAAAUAAAGAAGAAAGAAAAAAAGAAGAAAAAGGGGGAAAUGACUAAGGGUUUUUUCUUAUCUAAAUACAAUACUAUGAUGUACUUUUAUACUUUUCCGUUUGAAUAAUACCUCGUGUGAUA